AUUGAACGCUGGCGGGAUGCUUUACACAUGCAAGUCGAACGGCAGCACGGGAGCUUGCUCCUGGUGGCGAGUGGCGAACGGGUGAGUAACAUAUCGGAACGUGCCCAGGAGUGGGGGAUAACACAUCGAAAGAUGUGCUAAUACCGCAUACGACCUGAGGGUGAAAGGGGGGGAUCGCAAGACCUCUCGCUGCUGGAGCGGCCGAUAUCGGAUUAGCUAGUUGGUGGGGUAAAGGCCUACCAAGGCGACGAUCCGUAGCUGGUCUGAGAGGACGACCAGCCACACUGGGACUGAGACACGGCCCAGACUCCUACGGGAGGCAGCAGUGGGGAAUUUUGGACAAUGGGGGCAACCCUGAUCCAGCCAUUCCGCGUGAGUGAAGAAGGCCUUCGGGUUGUAAAGCUCUUUCGGCAGGAACGAAACGGUGUUCCCUAAUACGGGAUGCUAAUGACGGUACCUGAAGAAGAAGCACCGGCUAACUACGUGCCAGCCGCCGCCGUAAUAC
rnacentral:rRNA from 1 species